UUGUUUGUAAUCCUUUUCUUCCUUGUUUUUUCAUGCUGCUCAUGUUACUUCAGGGUCUGUUUGACUGGAGCAUCCGUAGCGCUGAGGCGCUGAGUCAUGGCAGUUUGGCGGCGAGAAGCUGACAAUCAGCCAGAAACUGCGUAUGGAGAGCCUGAAUUUACCCGCUCCGGGCUUGGUGUGGGUUCUGAGGGGCGCAGACUGCUCACCCCAGGACCACUUCACCCCAGCAUUGCCAAGUGAUCCUGAGCAAACAACAUUCAGUUGGUUUAAGACUCCCUUUGCCCGCACAGCUGAAGAGGUCACAGAAUUGAUCUUUUAGCGCCUGCUGCCAUGUUGGAUCUCCAUUGAACAUUUUUUUUACCUUCUCUGAUGUCUUUGCUGGCCCAUUGUCGGGUUCUAUAUGAUGGCAAUACCUGAUUCAAACCAUACUUCCUCUAAGGUUUAACUUUUAGCACUCAGAGGUAGAGACAAUGGCAUAAGAAAUAUUUGAACUGAAAGUGGGAAGAGCUUGAAUACUUCUGAUAGAAAUUGAUUAUUAUAACUAGGAUAAGAACAAAUGGAUGGUGGAUAAGAAAUCAUGUUUUCUAUUCUUUUGACUGCCCAAUAUCCCUUGCAAGGACACACUUUUUAAAAUAUUUAUGCCUAUAUAAAUUGCAUAUAUGGUACUGCUCUUCCCCAAACAGUAUACCAAAUCUCUUCCACUUUUGUAAUGUACCAAGAACUCUUAAGUGAUGUAUAGUUCUCUUAGGUAAAAUUGCUAGAUGACUUAGAGCUAAGGGUUUUUGUUGUUGUUGUUGUUGUUACUCUUUAGCCUGGUUACAUUUUUUGUUUAAAAUUCAUUUAAGUUUAUUAAUAUUUCAAUGUUAGUCCACUUUUCCUAUUCUUACUGAUUUAUUUUGUGAAUAUGUAAAGCAAUGACAUGUUUUCAAAAGUCAAAGUAUAUAGAAAAAUACACUCAAGAGAACUAUCACUCCCUU